AGAGUUUGAUCCUGGCUCAGGACGAACGCUGGCGGCACGCUUAACACAUGCAAGUCGAACGAGAGAAGAGGAGCUUGCUUUUCUGAUCUAGUGGCGGACGGGUGAGUAACACGUGAGCAAUCUGCCUUUCAGAGGGGGAUACCGAUUGGAAACGAUCGUUAAUACCGCAUAACAUAAUUGAACCGCAUGAUUUGAUUAUCAAAGAUUUAUCGCUGAAAGAUGAGCUCGCGUCUGAUUAGCUAGUUGGUAAGGUAACGGCUUACCAAGGCGACGAUCAGUAGCCGGACUGAGAGGUUGAUCGGCCACAUUGGGACUGAGACACGGCCCAGACUCCUACGGGAGGCAGCAGUGGGGAAUAUUGCACAAUGGAGGAAACUCUGAUGCAGCGAUGCUGCGUGAGGGAAGAAGGUUUUAGGAUUGUAAACCUCUGUCUUCAGGGACGAAAAAAGACGGUACCUGAGGAGGAAGCUCCGGCUAACUACGUGCCAGCAGCCGCGGUAAUACGUAGGGAGCGAGCGUUGUCCGGAAUUACUGGGUGUAAAGGGAGCGUAGGCGGGAUCGCAAGUCAGAUGUGAAAACUAUGGGCUUAACCCAUAAACUGCAUUUGAAACUGUGGUUCCUGAGUGAAGUAGAGGUAAGCGGAAUUCCUAGUGUAGCGGUGAAAUGCGUAGAUAUUAGGAGGAACAUCAGUGGCGAAGGCGGCUUACUGGGCUUUAACUGACGCUGAGGCUCGAAAGCGUGGGGAGCAAACAGGAUUAGAUACCCUGGUAGUCCACGCCGUAAACGAUGAUUACUAGGUGUGGGGGGACUGACCCCUUCCGUGCCGCAGCAAACGCAAUAAGUAAUCCACCUGGGGAGUACGACCGCAAGGUUGAAACUCAAAGGAAUUGACGGGGGCCCGCACAAGCAGUGGAGUAUGUGGAUUAAUUCGAAGCAACGCGAAGAACCUUACCAGGUCUUGACAUCGUAUGCAUAGCUCAGAGAUGAGUGAAAUCUCUUCGGAGACAUAUAGACCGGUGGUGCAUGGUUGUCGUCAGCUCGUGUCGUGAGAUGUUGGGUUAAGUCCCGCAACGAGCGCAACCCUUACUGUUAGUUGCUACGCAAGAGCACUCUAGCAGGACUGCCGUUGACAAAACGGAGGAAGGUGGGGAUGACGUCAAAUCAUCAUGCCCCUUAUGACCUGGGCCUCACACGUACUACAAUGGCUGUCAACAGAGGGAAGCAAAGCCGCGAGGUGGAGCGAACCCCUAAAAGCAGUCUUAGUUCGGAUUGUAGGCUGCAACCCGCCUACAUGAGGUCGGAAUUGCUAGUAAUCGCAGAUCAGCAUGCUGCGGUGAAUACGUUCCCGGGCCUUGUACACACCGCCCGUCACGCCAUGGGAGUCGGUAACACCCGAAGCCUGUAGUCUAACCGCAAGGAGGACGCAGUCGAAGGUGGGAUUGAUGACUGGGGUGAAGUCGUAACAAGGUA
rnacentral:rRNA from 1 species